rnacentral:tRNA from 1 species
CGGGCUGUAGCGCAGAUGGUUAGCGUACAAGACUGGGGGUCUUGGGGUCGGCGGUUCGAUUCCGCCCAGCCCGA